rnacentral:rRNA from 1 species
AGUGAACGCUGGCGGUAGGCCUAACACAUGCAAGUCGAACGGCAGCACGGUAAGAGCUUGCUCUUACGGGUGGCGAGUGGCGGACGGGUGAGGAAUACAUCGGAAUCUACUUUUUCGUGGGGGAUAACGUAGGGAAACUUACGCUAAUACCGCAUACGACCUACGGGUGAAAGCAGGGGAUCUUCGGACCUUGCGCGAUUGAAUGAGCCGAUGUCGGAUUAGCUAGUUGGCGGGGUAAAGGCCCACCAAGGCGACGAUCCGUAGCUGGUCUGAGAGGAUGAUCAGCCACACUGGAACUGAGACACGGUCCAGACUCCUACGGGAGGCAGCAGUGGGGAAUAUUGGACAAUGGGCGCAAGCCUGAUCCAGCCAUACCGCGUGGGUGAAGAAGGCCUUCGGAUUGUAAAGCCCUUUUGUUGGGAAAGAAAAGCAGCAGGUUAAUACCCCGCUGUUCUGACGGUACCCAAAGAAUAAGCACCGGCUAACUUCGUG